rnacentral:lncRNA from 1 species
AGUGUCCAACGUUGCCUCGCGGAGGCCGCCGUGCGGAGCAAAUGUCUAACGGAAAUCAGAGGUGGAAAAGAGGUUGGAGGAGCCUGUUCCGUUCCACCCGCGUUUACUGAUGCGCCCACCAGCAGCCACGCUUGGGGCUGGGGGCUUUGAGGACACGCACGUGAGUCAGGGUCUUCUGGCCUCUAAGGCACGCGCAGGAAGAACCCUAGAUAGACGGAAUUACGACCCAUAUCGGAAGAAUAGCAUAAAGGGCGACAAGGCUCAAAUGAGCUAGAGGACAUCGGGUGGGGAACCUGGAAGGGACUUCAAAGAGGCGGUGUGGGGAGUCUUCAGGCUCACUCUGAGGUCCCCAUUGUGGCUUGCUUCUGCAGCUGAGCUGGAUUUGUGUAAAGUCAAACCUCAGAACAGCGAGCAUGAGUAGAGAGUCUCAAAUGAUAUGCGACUCUUCAACUCACACUUUGGCCGAAGAGACUUUUGAAAGAACCAUGAGGUUCAAGUUAUUCUUCAUGCAUUUGUGCUUCCUUUCCAGGCCUUGGGCUGAGCUGAUUCUCAGCUUUAUUUGCUGGCGUGGUGCAAAUAGUCAAGGUGUUACUUCCAGCCCUUUGGGGUGUAGGUUCACCUCCUUUUUCCACCUUACCUGUCCCUAGAUCUUCUGUUUCCAAGGCCAAGUCUUUAAAGGGUUUUCAGUCCCUCUAGCAAAGUAAUGGGUAGGGAGGCUCAUCGUGAGGGACCACAUUUUCCCUACCCAUUCCAAACUCAAAGGUUUGCCUAGCCUUACCUGCUAAAAGGUGAUGACAGAUGUUGACUCUGGGAUUCACUAAGGCCUCUACCACAGUUUUCUCUAGAAACAAAUAGAAGAGAAUGCAGAGGGUUGAAAUCUACCCAAAAUAUCAGUCAGAGACUCUGAGCUUCAAAGACCUUCCCCUAUUUCCCCCAAUGUAAUUUAUAUAGGGUUGGACCCUUAGUCCUCAAGCUAUCAUCUUUAUCUCCUCCACAUAAGCCUGCCUUGGCUGGGAAAAGUAGCAUUCAAAGGGCACUGGGAACAAUUUUAAAUGCUGCAUCUAAGGAAUGCCAAGUUCUGGUCCUCUUGGAGUUGGAUUAAAAUUGUUAACACUUUCACAUUCAAGGGCUGCUUACAACUACUACAGACCCUAUUAUCUGUUCUUCUGAAUUAGCAUGAAAAUGAAUAGCACAAUAUAACUAGAAAUGAGUAUUUCUAGAAAUGAGUAUAUACAUCUAUAGAUGUAUAACAUCGGUUUUUCUUAUUGAAUGGUGCUACUUAUUUUAACAACCAGGCUGCCUUAAAUAUAAUGGACAUCCGUAUGGAUUAAGACUCUAUACAAGCUUUCUCUUUAGUACACCAGGGGAAAGUGAAAAAAGAACCACAUUUGAAUUCGGCUUUGUCACUACAAGUGGGUGACCAUGAGCAAGUUACUAACCUCAGUGAACCUGUUCCUAACCUAAAAAGGAGGAGAAUGGAGAGCAGAUGAACUCAUCCUUAUGGAUUAAGAAGACAAAGAAUACAAGCAAGCAGGAGAAAGUCUAAGAAGAGAGUUCACCUGGUGGGUGGCAACGUUCACAGCAAGAGUACCAUCCUUCUGUAACAUGCAUUCUCAAAAGAGCCAAUAUCACCUUCAAAAGGACGUAAAUUGCUUCUUGGGGUAGGGAGGCCAAAAAAAAAUCUUAAAUAUUAUAGUGGUCUGUGGCCCCCACAAAGUUCAGCCCUAUUCCUUAGUAUUUAAUUUUUCUUUUAGGGAGCAUUUAAACCUAAUUAACUCUUCCCCUUUAGGGGCAGUGAUAACAAAAAACAAAUUGAGAAACACUGCUUUAUAGAGAUGGAGGGCAAGCUCUAAAACAGAAAAAGAAUAGAUUUCCUGGCUUCCUAAGGUAGACCUCUUAAUCCUUCCGAAAACCUUGGAAUUCCACUGACUUCCAGAUCCUUGCCCCAGGUUCUGCCACUGUGGUAGCUCCAGCCAUGCCAGCUCUGUGCAACCCUUCCUGUGCUUUGUAACCCAGGCCUGCAGACAAGUCCUCACUACACAGAGGUAGUGAGAGAGUGUAUGCAGGAGGCCUUGUCUUUAUGCAUAACCUGCUAGCAAUGUAGCAAGACAGUGCUGGGGGCACAGCAAUAAAAUUACACUUCGUGCCCAGAUUAUAGAUCCAGGUGAGGUGACUUGCUAGAGAAAGGGCUUCCCCAUUCCCCCCAGCUAUAUAAGGUAAUGAAUUAUGCUAGGGUUUCAGGAUUUCCUGAUUGGCAGGGUAGGAGGCUUGGUUUUCCCCCUCUGCUCCCACUCAGGGCUUCCUGUGAUAUGGCAGGCGGAAAACCACCACCAUGACCACUCAUGAAAAUGGGAGACGGGCCGGGCACAGUGGCUCACACCCGUAAUCCCAGCACUUUGGGAUGCUGAGGCAGGUGGAUCACAUGAGGCCAGGAGUUCCAGACCAGCUUAGCCAACAUGGUGAAACCCUGUCUCUACUAAAAAAAAAAAAAUACAAAAAUUACUCAGGCAUGGUGGUGCACAUCUGUAAUCCCAGAUACUCGGGAGGCUGAGGCACAAGAAUCGCUUGAAUCCGGGAGGUAGAGGUUGCAGUGGGCCAAGAUCGUGCCGCUGCACUCCAGCCUGGGUGACAGAGCGAGACGCUGUCUCAAAAGAAAAAAAAAAUGCUACACAGUGUCCACUCCUUCUCCUUCCAGCUGAGACCCAGCUGGGCUUGGGCUAGUUGAAAAAGUAAAGAAGGAUGGAAGGAAUAUCUCCCACCUGCAGCUCUAGGUGGUACAGAAAUUAAGGGAUUGAUUGUGCAGAGCUGAGUAAAGAGAAGACCCGAGACCAGAGAACCAGAGUCAGGGGUCUGAAUUAGUCACUAAAACAAGGUGAAUGGUGGUGGUGGCAAAAGCAAAUGACGAAGGUCAAGAACAGAGCCAGGGUUCAAGACCCAGAAGGAACAGGUCCAGAGAAUAAGCCUUCUGGUAAUCCUCAGCAGCAUCUGGGUGGGCACUGUUGUCAUUAUGAACCAUGGUGCUUGCUGGGGUGGGAUGCAUGGCGUGGCCAGGACAGCCAGAAUGGAAGGCUUCCUUUGGAAGGCUUCGCUGAGCUAGCAGGAAGAUUUGGACAGGGGAACUGAUUUCUCACAACUCCUUCCUGACCACCCACAUAAUUGGUUCAAAUUAAGCACUAGGCUGUAGAGGUACCAAUUCUUUGUUUCCGGAGGCAGGAUGCUUUCUUGGCAUAGAUAUACACCCUGAGGAAGGAUGUGGCUAGCAAUAAUUGUCCUCUCCUCUUUUAAUUUAAACUUUUAAUUUUAGAAUAGUUUGGAUUUCCAGAAAAGUUGCAAAGAUAGUACAGAGUUUUUGCGUACUCCUUACGCCGUGUCUCCGUUGUUAACAUCCUGUAUCAUUCUUGUACAUUUGUCACAACUAAGGAGUCAAUAUUGGCACAUUGCUGUUAACUAAACUGUAUACUUUAUUCUUAUUUAACUAGAUUUUCCCCAAAGUUAUUUUUUUUAUCCCGAAAUCCCACCCAGGAUACCACAUUACAUUUUGCAGUCAUGUCUCAUUAGCCUCCUCUGGUCUGUGACAGUUUCUCGGACUUUACUUGCUUAUGACAGUCUUGAAAAGUAUUCAUCAGGUACUUUGUAGAUUGCCCCUCAGUUUGGUUUUGUCUGUUGUUGUCCUCAUGGAUAACGUGGAGUUCAGGGGUUUUUGGGAGGAAGACUAUCGAGGUAAGGUGCCUUUUUUUUUUUUUUUUUUUUUUUUGAGAUGGAGUUUUGCUCUUGUUGCCCAGGCUGGAGUGCAAUGGCACAAUCUCGGCUCACUGCAACCUCCACCUCCCGG